AGCUUGUAAAACAGAUUAAAAUCCUUGUUCUCAUAAACUGAAAAUUUCAAAAUAAAAUAUUCAUAUUUAAUGAAAAAUUUAGCAAAUUCAUAUUCAUUCAUUUACAAAAAUGAAGAUUACUUUUUUUUUAGAUAAAAGUGAUGUCCUUUUUUGGUGAAUUCAAAUCGAUGAGUGUGAGUUGUUCAGCAGUAAUUGCUUGCCCUAAAGAGAAUGUGACUUCACUGCUACUUUAUUGUAAGGUUCAUGUUUUUCAACUUUUUUUUUCUUCAUUUUUUUCAUUAUGUUAAUCUUUUAUCAUAGUGUUGUUUGUUCAUCUUUUGUCUGUGUUGUGUAUUCAUCUUUUAUCUUAGUGUUGUUUGUUCAUCUUUUAUCAUAGUGUUGUUUGUUCAUCUUUUGUCAGUGUUGUUUGUUCAUCUUUCGUCAUUGUGUUGUUAGUUCAUCUUUUAUCAUAGUGUUGUUAGUUCAUCUUUUAUCAUAGUGUUGUUUGUUCAUCUUUCGUCAUUGUGUUGUUAGUUCAUCUUUUAUCAUAGUGUUGUUUGUUCAUCUUUCGUCAUUGUGUUGUUUGUUCAUCUUUUAUCAUAGUGUUGUUUGUUCAUCUUUUGUCAUUGUGUUGUUAGUUCAUCUUUUAUCAUUGUGUUGUUAGUUCAUCUUUUAUCAUAGUGUUGUUUGUUCAUCUUUCGUCAUUGUGUUGUUUGUUCAUCUUUUAUCAUAGUGUUGUUUGUUCAUCUUUUGUCAUUGUGUUGUUUGUUCAUCUUUUAUCAUAGUGUUGUUUGUUCAUCUUUUAUCAUAGUGUUGUUUGUUCAUCUUUUGUCAAUGUUGUCUGUUCAUCUUUUGUCAGUGUUGUUAGUUCAUCUUUUAUCAUAGUGUUGUUAGUUCAUCUUUUAUCAUAGUGUUGUUUGUUCAUCUUUUGUCAUAGUGUUGUUUGUUCAUCUUUUGUCACAGUGUUGUUUGUUCAUCUUUUAUCUUUUAUCUCAAGUGUUGUUAGUUCAUCUUUUAUCUUAAGUGCUGUUUGUUCAUCUUUUGUCACAGUGUUGUUUGUUCAUCUUUUAUCUAUUGUCACAGUGUUGUUUGUUCAUCUUUUAUCUUUUAUCUCAAGUGUUGUUAGUUCAUCUUUUAUCUUAAGUGCUGUUUGUUCAUCUUUUGUCACAGUGUUGUUUGUUCAUCUUUUAUCUAAGUGUUUUUUGUUAAUCUUUAAUCAUAGUAUUGUUUGUUUAUCUUUUGUCAUAGUGGUGUUAAAUCAUCUUUGUAAUAGUGUAGUUUUCCAUCUAUUAUUUAGUGUUGUUUGUUCAUCUUUUAUUUAGUGUUGUUUGUGUAUCUUUUGUCAUAGUGUUGUUAGUUUAUCUUUCAUCUUAGUGUUGUUAGUUCAACUUUUAUCUUAAUGUUGUUAGUUCAUCUUUUGUCAAUGUUGUUAGUUCAUCUUUUAUCUAAGUGUUGUUAGUCAAUCUUUUUAUCUUAGUGUUGUUAGUUUUUUUUUUUUAUCUUAAUGUUGUUUGUUCAUCUUUUGUCAUAGUGUUGUUUGUCUGUUCAUCUUAGUUCUUUUUAUCAUUGUGUUGUUUAUAAAAAAAAAAUGUUGUUUGACAAUCUUCUAUUUUUUGUUCAUACAGUAUUUUCUAUCUUCCUAUGACUUAUAGUUGUUUAAUGCUUCUUGUAUUUUCUAUUUGAAUAAAUAUUUGACUUGUGUUGGUUUAAGGGGGUAGACCUUGGUUAGGGAGAUAACUCUUUAAAUCAGUUAUGUGUUUGUUAAAGUCAAGUUUCAUCAAUGUUAAGCAUUUACCUGAAACAGAUUGGAAAUAAUCUAUGUAACCUAGAAGCUUGGAAUAUAUUUAUGAAAAUGGUUGACACAAACGUACUGAUGAUUU
rnacentral:lncRNA from 1 species